AAGUCCUAUACAGGGUUGCAGUUCUUAUGAGUAUACCCUAGAUGGAGCACCUCUCUAAUCUGACCGACAUUCACUACUUUCGCUUUCAAGAGCAAGCACAUGGCAAAAAUCACUUGUGAGGCACGAUGAGAAGGCAAACAUCUAUCCUGUGUGCGUUCAUGCCAAGAAAACCACACACACACACACGCACUCACACCAGAUGUGUUUUCCUCACAUCCCCUCUGUACCUAUAACAACAACGGUAAUCUGUACCAUUAUACCGACUCAUUAAAGCUAUUUUUGGAUGAAA